CUGUAGGUAUAAAAGUUUGAUAAAUUUAAGAGCUCUUCUAUUUCCGCAACUCAAUAGACCCGUAGUCUAUUGAGGGUAACCUCUCAGAUAUAAGGAGUGAGAUAAAUAAACUGAACGAGGCUAUGUCGAAAAAGUGCUCACAUUUGGAUAAAAGAGUUGCGGAAAUAGAAGACAAACUAAGUUCAUUCUCUUCACUUCCUCCAGAGGAGGUCAUUACCGAGAUCAAUGAGCGUAAAAAGCGGGAAGCCAAUGUGAUCGCAUUUAAUAUUACCGAAUCCAAGGCGGUAGACGGUCACGUACGUCUAGAAAAAGAUAGAGGCUAUCAUCUGUUAUUCCGAAGAGCUCCAUGACAAAGUGAAUUCGUUCAAGCUAGUAUACUAAAAUCCUGAUSCUAACACACGAGUCACCUUCAAGUCAGAUCUCACUCCGGCUCAGCAGUCACAAUUGCUAUCACUGAGGGAAAAACUUAGAUUGCUGAAUGACAGUCACACGCCUAGAAUAGUUAACACAAACUUUUACCAAGUCGUCGAGGAAAGGAAACUUAAAGCAGCUACAAGUAUUCUACCAGAAUAUGCGCGGUCUAAGGACAAAACUGAGCGUGUUCCUAACCUCAUCGGCAAGUAGUUCGUACGACGUAAUAUGUAUCACAGAGCCCUGGCUUUACUCAUCUAUUCAAAAUAAUGAAUUGAUCGAUAGCUCCUAUAUCACACUUAGGAAGGACAGGGAUACUUCGACAGGAUGCUAGAGAAGAGGUGGUGUCCUGAUUGCUUUUAAACGAACAAUUAAAGCUGAGCUCAUAUCCAUUGGGAACAAUAACCUAGAGCAGAUCUUCAUAAGGAUCAAAGAGAAAAAUUUCCGGAUUAAAGGAUCAUGAUAGUAGGAGACUACAAUUUGCCCAGCAGUACAUCACGCUUUGAUUGCGAGAAGCUGCUGUACGAUACCAAUGUUCUGAUUGAGUGUCAACAAUUCAAUCAAAUCUUAAAUAAAAAUAAUAAGCUGUUGGAUUUAUGUUACAGUAAUUUGGAUCUCUCAAUCAACGAAACUCUUGCUUUCGUGACUGAAAUUGAAGAAAUCUGCGCAUAUCAGAUAUAGGAGAAAUAAACCUAAGUCAAAUUAUAGAUGUUUUAGCCAACUGAGACUCGAAUGCAAGAAAUUAAGUACAAUAUGCUACAUGUUAUACAUUAAUAAAGUGGAAAAUCUAGUCUCUUCAGACAAGACCUCCAGAAUUCAAGGUUUGUCAAGCACAAAAGGGGUACCGACAUGGGAAUCCCAGCUACAAUGACAUGGAAUGACCUAACCGCUCAUUCGGGUGCUCAGAUUAGUAAUAUAUUCGCAUCUUACUUCAAAGACAUCUAUACAAUGAGCCCCAGCGAAGCUGGUCAUCAUCAAUCUGCUGAUAUUGUAAGGAA